CAUGUACUCCCUCCGUCCGGAAAUACUUGUCGAAGGAAUGAAUGUAUCUAGACAUAUUAUAGUUCUAGAUACAUCCAUUUUUAUCCAUUUCCACGACAAGUAAUUCCGGACGAAGGGAGUAGUUU
rnacentral:pre_miRNA from 1 species